GCUGGGCACGGUGGCACACGCCUGUAAUCCCAGCAGCUCAGGAGGCUGAGGCAGGAGAAUCUCGAGUUCAAACCCCACCCUCGUCAAGGGCAAGGUGCUUGGCAGCUCAGGGAGACCCUGUCUCUA
rnacentral:sRNA from 1 species